rnacentral:rRNA from 1 species
AUCGAACGCUGGCGGCAUGCCUUACACAUGCAAGUCGAACGGUAACAGGUUAAGCUGACGAGUGGCGAACGGGUGAGUAAUGUAUCGGAACGUGCCCAGUCGUGGGGGAUAACUACUCGAAAGAGUGGCUAAUACCGCAUACGACCUGAGGGUGAAAGCGGGGGACCGUAAGGCCUCGCGCGAUUGGAGCGGCCGAUAUCAGAUUAGCUAGUUGGUGGGGUAAAAGCCCACCAGGGCGACGAUCUGUAGCUGGUCUGAGAGGACGACCAGCCACACUGGGACUGAGACACGGUCCAGACUCCUACGGGAGGCAGCAGUGGGGAAUUUUGGACAAUGGACGCAAGUCUGAUCCAGCCAUGCCGCGUGCGGGAAGAAGGCCUUCGGGUUGUAAACCGCUUUUGUCAGGGAAGAAACGAGUUUCUCUAAUACAGAGACUUAAUGACGGUACCUGAAGAAUAAGCACCGGCUAACUACGUGCCAGCCGCCGCAGUAAUAC